rnacentral:rRNA from 1 species
GCCAGACUCCUACGGGAGGCAGCAGUGGGGAAUAUUGCACAAUGGGGGGAACCCUGAUGCAGCGACGCCGCGUGAGUGAAGAAGUAUUUCGGUAUGUAAAGCUCUAUCAGCAGGGAAGAAAAUGACGGUACCUGACUAAGGAGCCCCGGCUAACUACGUGCCAGCAGCCGCGGUAAUACGUAGGGGGCAAGCGUUAUCCGGAUUUACUGGGUGUAAAGGGAGCGUAGACGGCAGAGCAAGUCUGGAGUGAAAGCCCGGGGCCCAACCCCGGGACUGCUCUGGAAACUGCGUCGCUGGAGUACGGGAGGGGCAGGCGGAAUUCCUGGUGUAGCGGUGAAAUGCGUAGAUAUCAGGAGGAACACCGGCGGCGAAGGCGGCCUGCUGGACCGUGACUGACGUUGAGGCUCGAAAGCGUGGGGAGCAAACAGGAUUAGAUACCCUAGUAC